GUCGUGCGCGAACUGUAGCAAUACAGGGAGAGCGGCGAAAGGGAGAGUAAUACGUAGGUACCUACCCCCGGGUCUGGGAUAGCGGCGGGAAACUGCCGGUAAUACCAGAUAAUGUCUCCGGACCAAAGGUGUGAUUCCACCUGGGGAGGGGCCUGCGGGCUAUUAGCUAGUUGGCAGGGUAACGGCCUACCAAGGCAAAGAUGGCUAUGGGGCGUGAGAGCGUGCCCCCACUCACUGGGACUGAGACACUGCCCAGACACCUACGGGUGGCUGCAGUCGAGAAUCUUCGGCAAUGGGCGCAAGCCUGACCGAGCGAUGCCGCGUGCGGGAUGAAGGCCUUCGGGUUGUAAACCGCUGUCGUAGGGGAGGAAGGCUCCGUGCAGAACGGAGUUUGACCGAUCCUAGGAGGAAGGGCCGGCUAAUCUCGUGCCAGCAGCCGCGGUAAUACGAGAGGCCCGAACGUUAUUCGGAUUUACUGGGCUUAAAGAGUUCGUAGGCGGCUUGGAAAGUGGGGUGUGAAAGCCCUCGGCUCAACCGAGGAAUUGCGCUCCAAACUUCCGAGCUUGAGUAGGCUAGAGGUGAGCAGAACAGAUGGUGGAGCGGUGAAAUGCGUUGAUAUCAUCUGGAAUACCGGAGGCGAAGGCGGCUCACUGGGACCUAACUGACGCUGAGGAACGAAAGCUAGGGGAGCAAACGGGAUUAGAUACCCCGGUAGUCCUAGCCGUAAACGGUGA
rnacentral:rRNA from 1 species